GACGAACGCUGGCGGCGUGCUUAACACAUGCAAGUCGAACGGAAAGGCCCUGCUUUUGUGGGGUGCUCGAGUGGCGAACGGGUGAGUAACACGUGAGUAACCUGCCCUUGACUUUGGGAUAACUUCAGGAAACUGGGGCUAAUACCGGAUAGGAGCUCCCGCUGCAUGGUGGGGGUUGGAAAGUUUCGGCGGUUGGGGAUGGACUCGCGGCUUAUCAGCUUGUUGGUGGGGUAGUGGCUUACCAAGGCUUUGACGGGUAGCCGGCCUGAGAGGGUGACCGGCCACAUUGGGACUGAGAUACGGCCCAGACUCCUACGGGAGGCAGCAGUGGGGAAUAUUGCACAAUGGGCGGAAGCCUGAUGCAGCAACGCCGCGUGCGGGAUGACGGCCUUCGGGUUGUAAACCGCUUUCGCCUGUGACGAAGCGUGAGUGACGGUAAUGGGUAAAGAAGCACUGGCUAACUACGUG
rnacentral:rRNA from 1 species